AUAUCAGCAGCUGAGAAGAGCGGACCCUGUCCUGCUUGUGAGAGAGACCAGGUGUAGCAGUCAUCAUGGGCUUCACCGUCUGUGUGUGUGUGCUAUCUGCAGUGAUGCUGAUGAUGGGUGAACUGUCAGCAGCACAAGCUUGCGUCUUUCCUUUUGAGUACAGGGGCAUUUGGUACUCAAAAUGUACCCGCUUCCGCCAUCACCUGCCAUGGUGUGCAACAACAAAGAGCUACAGCAGAGAUGGAAG